CCUACGGGAGGCAGCAGUGAGGAAUAUUGGUCAAUGGACGAGAGUCUGAACCAGCCAAGUAGCGUGAAGGAUGACUGCCCUAUGGGUUGUAAACUUCUUUUAUAUGGGAAUAAAAUGUUCCACGUGUGGGAGUUUGUAUGUACCAUAUGAAUAAGGAUCGGCUAACUCCGUGCCAGCAGCCGCGGUAAUACGGAGGAUCCGAGCGUUAUCCGGAUUUAUUGGGUUUAAGGGGAGCGUAGGUGGAUUGUUAAGUCAGUUGUGAAAGUUUGCGGCUCAACCGUAAAAUUGCAGUUGAAACUGGCAGUCUUGAGUACAGUAGAGGUGGGCGGAAUUCGUGGUGUAGCGGUGAAAUGCUUAGAUAUCACGAAGAACUCCGAUUGCGAAGGCAGCUCACUGGACUGCAACUGACACUGAGGCUCGAAAGUGUGGGUAUCAAACAGGAUUAGAUACCCUAGUAGUC
rnacentral:rRNA from 1 species